rnacentral:tRNA from 1 species
GUUGCCAUGGCGUAAUGGACAAGCGUGCCUGCCUUCGGAGCAGGCGGUCAGGGUUCGAGUCCCUGUGGCAGCA